UUUCCGUAGGUGAACCUGCGGAAGGAUCAUUAUUGUAUAACCGAGGUGCGAGGGCUGUCGCUGACCCGACAGGUCGUGCACGCCCGAGUGCCCUCACACACAUCCAUCUCACCCCUAUGUGCACCACCGCGCGGGUCCCCCUUUGGCUUGUUCGGAGGGGGGCUUACGUUUUCACACAAACUUUGUAUGCAGUGUAGAAUGUAUUUUUUGUUUUUGCGAUCACGCAAUCAAUACAACUUUCAACAACGGAUCUCUUGGCUCUC
rnacentral:misc_RNA from 1 species